AAAUGGAGGAAAUUUCAAGGUCAAUGUAAUAGAUCUCUUUCUCUUCCCUCUUGGGAGGGCUCAGACUGCCUUAGAGAUCGCCGCACCCAGCCCUGGCUUCUUCCUGCUUAUUCAGAAACCUUGUGAUUCAGCCAUGACCCAUCCCCUAUAAUUUCUCUGAAAAAGUGAUCUUUGCUGGAUUUGGUUCUCCAGUUGAGCUGCUUAGGCAAGAGAAAGUCAUGGAAGACAUCCUGAGUCGAGAGUUGUGGGAUACGGACUUUUCCUUUCUCUGCUGUUCAUUCUCCUGUGACCUUGAGGAAAUCACUUCAUUCUGGUCCUCUGCCUGCUCACUUAGGUGGUCGCAUACCAUACUUCCCCCAAGUGGAUGGAUGGAUGGAUGGAUGCCUGUACAAUUCAAAGACUUAGCAUUUCUGAACAAGUGGACAGGGAGGAAACUCCAGAUCCCGUGGGAUGGUGGAGAGAGCUGGGCAGCACAAGUUCUUGUGUGAAAUCAAGCAUAUCAAUGAAGCACUCUUCAUUAGGAACUGAACAAAUAAA
rnacentral:lncRNA from 1 species